UUUUCCUACGGGGGGCAGCAGUGGGGGAUAUUGCACAAUGGGGGGAACCCUGAUGCAGCGACGCCGCGUGGGCGAUGGAGUGCUUCGGCAUGUAAAGCCCUAUCAGCAGGGAAGAAAAUGACGGUACCUGACUAAGAAGCUCCGGCUAACUACGUGCCAGCAGCCGCGGUAAUACGUAGGGAGCGAGCGCUGUCCGGAAUUACUGGGCGUAAAGGGCGCGUAGGCGGGAACUUAAGUUAGAUGUGAAAACUCCGGGCUUAACCUGGAGACUGCAUUUAAAAAUGGGUUUCUU
rnacentral:rRNA from 1 species